CCUACGGGUGGCUGCAGUGAGGAAUAUUGGUCAAUGGGCGGAAGCCUGAACCAGCCAAGUAGCGUGCAGGAUGACGGCCCUACGGGUUGUAAACCGCUUUUAUACGGGAAUAACGCGCCUUACGUGUAGGGCUUUGCAUGUACCGGAUGAAUAAGGACCGGCUAAUUCCGUGCCAGCAGCCGCGGUAAUACGGAAGGUCCGGGCGUUAUCCGGAUUUAUUGGGUUUAAAGGGUGCGUAGGCCGGAUGUCAAGCGUGCUGUGAAAUGUCCGGGCUCAACCCGUGCCUUGCAGCGCGACCUGGCGUGCGUGAGUCCGCGGAAAGUAGGCGGAAUGCGUCGUGUAGCGGUGAAAUGCUUAGAUAUGACGAAGAACCCCGAUUGCGAAGGCAGCUUGCUGCAGCGGAACUGACGCUGAUGCACGAAAGCGCGGGUAUCGAACAGGAUUAGAUACCCGGGUAGUC
rnacentral:rRNA from 1 species